rnacentral:rRNA from 1 species
UACGUAGGUGGCAAGCGUUGUCCGGAUUUACUGGGCGUAAAGAGCGCGCAGGCGGUCGUUCAAGUCGCGUGUGAAAGCCCCCGGCUCAACUGGGGAGGGUCACGCGAUACUGAUCGACUCGAAGGCAGGAGAGGGUAGUGGAAUUCCCGGUGUAGUGGUGAAAUUCGUAGAUAUCGGGAGGAACACCGGUGGCGAAGGCGGCGAUCUGGGUCGAUACUGACGCUGAGGUGCGAAAGCGUGGGGAGCAAACAGG